GGGCAACCCUUGAGUACAGCGGCGGACGGGUGGGGAACACGUAGGUAACCUGCCCUUCGGUGGAGGACAACGGUCCGAAAGGACCGCUAAUACUGCAUCCGUUUCCCGGGACCUCGGUCCUGGGAAGGAAAGCCUCGCAAGGGGCGCCGGAGGAGGGGCCUGCGUCGCAUCAGCUAGUUGGUGGGGUAAUGGCCUACCAAGGCGAAGACGCGUAGCUGGUCUGAGAGGAUGAUCAGCCACACUGGGACUGAGACACGGCCCAGACUCCUACGGGAGGCAGCAGUGGGGAAUAUUGGACAAUGGGCGAAAGCCCGAUCCAGCCACGCCGCGUGAGUGAUGAAGGCCUUCGGGUCGUAAAGCUCUGUGGGGAGGGACGAACGAACGGGUGAAGAACCCGGAAUGACGGUACCUCCUUAGCAAGCACCGGCUAACUUCGUGCCAGCAGCCGCGGUAAUACGAAGGGUGCAAACGUUGCUCGGAAUCAUUGGGCGUAAAGCGCACGUAGGCGGCCUUGCAAGUCGGAUGUGAGAUCCCACGGCUCAACCGUGGACGUGCAUCCGAAACUGCUCGGCUCGAGUAUGGAAGAGGGUCGCGGAAUUCCCGGUGUAGAGGUGAAAUUCGUAGAUAUCGGGAGGAACACCAGUGGCGAAGGCGGCGACCUGGGCCAAUACUGACGCUGAGGUGCGAAAGCGUGGGG
rnacentral:rRNA from 1 species